rnacentral:rRNA from 1 species
UCCGUAGGUGAACCUGCGGAGGGAUCAUUACCGAGUCUAAACAACUCAUCAACCCUGUGAACUUACCUAAAACGUUGCUUCGGCGGGAACAGACGGCCCCGUAAAACGGGCCGCCCCCGCCAGAGGACCCUUAACUCUGUUGCUAUAGUAUCUUCUGAGUAAAACAAGCAAAUAAAUUAAAACUUUCAACAACGGAUCUCUUGGCUCUGGCAUCGAUGAAGAACGCAGCGAAAUGCGAUAAGUAAUGUGAAUUGCAGAAUUCAGUGAAUCAUCGAAUCUUUGAACGCACAUUGCGCCCGCCAGUAUUCUGGCGGGCAUGCCUGUUCGAGCGUCAUUACAACCCUCAGGCCCCCGGGCCUGGCGUUGGGGAUCGGCGAGGCGCCCCCUGUGGGCACGCGCCGUCCCCCAAAUACAGUGGCGGUCCCGCCGCAGCUUCCAUUGCGUAGUAGCUAACACCUCGCAACUGGAGAGCGGCGCGGCCAUGCCGUAAAACACCCAACUUCUGAAUGUUGACCUCGAAUCAGGUAGGAAUACCCGCUGAACUUAAGCAUAUCAAUAA